GAUGAACGCUGGCGGCGUGCCUAAUACAUGCAAGUCGAGCGAACGGACGAGAAGCUUGCUUCUCUGAUGUUAGCGGCGGACGGGUGAGUAACACGUGGAUAACCUACCUAUAAGACUGGGAUAACUUCGGGAAACCGGAGCUAAUACCGGAUAAUAUUUUGAACCGCAUGGUUCAAAAGUGAAAGACGGUCCUGCUGUCACUUAUAGAUGGAUCCGCGCUGCAUUAGCUAGUUGGUAAGGUAACGGCUUACCAAGGCAACGAUGCAUAGCCGACCUGAGAGGGUGAUCGGCCACACUGGAACUGAGACACGGUCCAGACUCCUACGGGAGGCAGCAGUGGGGAAUCUUCCGCAAUGGGCGAAAGCCUGACGGAGCAACGCCGCGUGAGUGAUGAAGGUCUUCGGAUCGUAAAACUCUGUUAUUAGGGAAGAACAUAUGUGUAAGUAACUGUGCACAUCUUGACGGUACCUAAUCAGAAAGCCACGGCUAACUACGUG
rnacentral:rRNA from 1 species